AAGUUCUCCCUACAGAAGAAGUCUGAAGAGAGAGGACACAUCCAAGGCAGAACUGGAUCAUGCCCUGGCUUGCCAGAACAGACUUGCUCUCAUGGUUGGACACGGCCAAAGGAGAUACUGGUGCAGAGGUGCACUGAUCAGCCAGCAGCUUCUCACUUGAAGAUGUCCCAUGAGGUCCUGCUGGGAGCCUGGCUUCUGAAUGGCUGAUGAAGCUCAGUUUCACCGUGCACACCUUGACUAGGUAAGUCCUUUGACAGCCUUCAGCUGCAAGACCAUGAGGAGAGGACUGAAAAUGUGCGUAAGGUCUCUAUUUUUUAUUAUUUGAGCUCCUAUUUGCUUAACUAGCUCUUAGGA
rnacentral:lncRNA from 14 species